AUCAGAGGUGGAACAUUUUUGCAUCAUAACUGGUUAUAUGGGAAUAAAGUUACAUAAAAAGUUCUGACUGCUCAACACUCAACUAUCAGAGAAGACAUCCGGGCAACAUCACAGACCUAUGUGACGUAAUUACUUGCAGCGAUGAUUCCAAUGCUGCCCAAAAUGUUUUAUUCUCACUAUGGACCAAACACAUAUCCCCCUGCAACUCACCUCUGCUAUGAGGUCUAUAAGCAGAAAACACUUAUUGACUCAGGUCACUUUACAAACACUGAUGAAAGCCACGCUGAGGAAGUGUUCAUUGGUGAGCGGUUCAAAGAUGUCUGGAAAAGCUGCACAAUUGUCUGGUACAUCUCCUGGAGUCCGUGCGAUCAUUGUAUGGAUAUCUUGCUGAAGACAUUUCUUCCCAACAACCCCCACCUCACAUUGCACAUCAUAUUUGCCAAGUUGUACAGACACACAUCGAAGAGUAACAUCCGAAACCUCCGUGCAAGAGGAGUGAAAAUACGUGUCAUGUUUUAUUUAGAUUUUCGUUGGUGCUGAAAGCAUUUUGUUGAAUCUACGGAAUCCUUGGUCCCAUGGAAAAAUAUGUUCAACAAUUAUUACAAGGUUUCUCGGAUGCUCUUUUUUGGAGAAUUUCAAAAGCAACAGUUAAACACAUGGAAUCAUAGGGCUAAUUCAGACCUGAUCGUUGGGGCGUGGCCUUGCAGAUCUUUUGUCCUUUGCUCUGGGGGCAUGUCCAGCUUCCCCGAAGAUGUUAGCUGCCCCCGGAGACCGG